rnacentral:rRNA from 1 species
UACGGAGGGUGCGAGCGUUGUCCGGAAUCACUGGGCGUAAAGGGCGCGCAGGCGGCAGAUCAAGUCAGAUGUGAAAGCCCCGGGCUCAACCUGGGAACUGCAUUUGGGACUGGUUUGCUAGAGAUCGGGAGAGGAGAGUGGAAUUCCCAGUGUAGAGGUGAAAUUCGUAGAUAUUGGGAAGAACACCGGUGGCGAAGGCGGCUCACUGGCCCGGUACUGACGCUGAGGUGCGAAAGCGUGGGGAGCAAACAGG